GGCCGCGGGAAUUCGAUUAGAGUUUGAUUAUGGCUCAGAUUGAACGCUGGCGGCAGGCCUAACACAUGCAAGUCGAACGGAAACAUGUCUAGCUUGCUAGAUGAUGUCGAGUGGCGGACGGGUGAGUAAUGCUUGGGAACUUGCCUUUGCGAGGGGGAUAACAGUUGGAAACGACUGCUAAUACCGCAAAAUGUCUACGGACCAAACAGGGCUUCGGCUCUGGCGCACAGAGAGGCCCAAGUGAGAUUAGCUAGUUGGUGAGGUAAAGGCUCACCAAGGCAACGAUCUCUAGCUGUUCUGAGAGGAAGAUCAGCCACACUGGGACUGAGACACGGCCCAGACUCCUACGGGAGGCAGCAGUGGGGAAUAUUGCACAAUGGGGGAAACCCUGAUGCAGCCAUGCCGCGUGUGUGAAGAAGGCCUUCGGGUUGUAAAGCACUUUCAGUUGUGAGGAAAAGUUAGUAGUUAAUACCUGCUAGCCGUGACGUUAACAACAGAAGAAGCACCGGCUAACUCCGUGCCAGCAGCCGCGGUAAUACGGAGGGUGCGAGCGUUAAUCGGAAUUACUGGGCGUAAAGCGCACGCAGGCGGUUUGUUAAGCUAGAUGUGAAAGCCCCGGGCUCAACCUGGGACGGUCAUUUAGAACUGGCAGACUAGAGUCUUGAAUAGGGGAGUGGAAUUCCAGGUGUAGCGGUGAAAUGCGUAGAUAUCUGGAGGAACAUCAUUUGCCGAAGGCGACUCCCUUGGCAAAAGACUGACGCUCAUGUCCCAAAAUUUUGGGUAGCGAACUGGAUUAGAUACCCGGGUAGUCCCCACCGUAAACGCUGUCUACUAGCUGUUUGUGACUUUUAAGUCGUGAGUAGGGAAGCUAACGCGAUAAGUAAAACCGCCUGGGGAGUACGGCCGCAAGGGUAAAACCUCAAAUGAAUUGGCGGGGGCCCCCCCAAGCGGGGGAAACAGGGGGGUUUAAUUCUUUUCCCCCCGGAAAAACCUUACCCACCCCUGCCCCCCUGGAAAGGUACCCCCAAAAGGUUUUUUGCCUUCCGGGAAUUCAAA
rnacentral:rRNA from 1 species